rnacentral:rRNA from 1 species
GACGAACGCUGGCGGCGUGCUUAACACAUGCAAGUCGAACGGAAAGGCCCCUUUUGGGGUACUCGAGUGGCGAACGGGUGAGUAACACGUGAGUAACCUGCCCUUGACUUCGGGAUAACUUCAGGAAACUGGGGCUAAUACCGGAUAGGAAUCCUUGCUGCAUGGUGGGGGUUGGAAAGCUUCGGCGGUUUUGGAUGGACUCGCGGCCUAUCAGCUUGUUGGUGGGGUAGUGGCUUACCAAGGCUUUGACGGGUAGCCGGCCUGAGAGGGCGACCGGCCACAUUGGGACUGGGAUACGGCCCAGGCUCCUACGGGAGGCAGCAGUGGGGAAUAUUGCACAAUGGGCGGGAGCCUGAUGCAGCAACGCCGCGGGCGGGAUGACGGCCUUCGGGUUGUAAACCGCUUUCAGCAGGGGCGAAGCUUGUGGUGACGGUACCUGCAGAAGAAGCACCGGCUAACUACGUG